UGGAGAAACUUGAUAGGCAACGUUUACUUCAGCAGAAAGGCUGUGUCAUAUGGAUUACUGGUCUUAGUGGUUCAGUUAUACUUGCAUAGCAGUAAUCAUGCUGCUGGUAUAACCCUUCUGGAAUUAUACAUCUCAAUAACCAGAAGGCAAGGUGAUGAUACCUACAUGAAAGGUGGUGCCAUCAUUUGACCUCAGCUUUCCCUUUCAAGAGAUAUGUCAAAAGAGGAUAAAGAAAGGAAGUUGACAUACUAUGAGUGUAGACUUCCCUCGUUCUCUCUCAUACACACACGCACACACAAUAGGUUAGAAAGAUAUCACUCAGUAGCUACAGAUCUCUUUCUGUGUGCUUUCCUUUGCUACCCAUCUCUGCUGCUUCUUAGCUGUAGUAUUGUUAUUAUACCUUAGCUUGAUUACAUUAAUAUUAUGUAACACAGCUAAGUACCCUGUAAUUUUGUUUUUUGGCUAAUAGUUAUAGCCUCUUCAAGUGC